UAAAAUUGACUUCUCUGCAUGUAGAAAUGGAAAUGAUUCUGGUAAGGCAAGCACUUCAUUAAAACAUUUGUGACAGCCUAGAUGUGAUGUAACUGCUAAAAGAAAUUCAUAUAGUUAGAUUUGCAGAAGGACUUAGCUGUCAUUUCCCUGGUGCUCUUACCUGGAGAUGAAGUACCUUCCACGCUACAUUUAAGAUGCCUGCUGCUGUGGGAACUGGACCACUGGACAAAUGAUGGUACAAGAGCAACGCUGAGGUUGGACACCACGGAGCUGGUGGGCAAAGUUUGUACUCCCCUUGUGCUUUCUUCAGUCCCACCUCUAAUCCUGGCAGCACCUGGUUUGAGAAGUAGCAGCCAUGAGGGAUGAAAUACAGUUCCAGGAUUGCCUUUUCUGCCUGCCAAAAAGCCUUGUGCAAGUGCUCUGAAAUAAGCAUGUAAAGAAACACAUGCGUUUUUUCGUUGAGGAGCUGUGGACAUGCUCACACCUGGAAUGCCCCACCUCAUCUCAUCAUUGAAAUGGAUUUGUACACUGUGUGCUUCCUACACUCUGGGCAAGCCACAGGCACUUAGGUUGAUUAGUGGUCUUUGAAAUACAGUCUAAUGAGUAAUACAAUCGGAAAGGAAGAAAGUAAUUUGGAAAAUGACAG
rnacentral:lncRNA from 1 species